ACACGACUACAUUAGAUACCCGGGUAGUCCCAGCCCUAAACGAUGCGCGUUAGGUGUAUCGGUGACCACGAGUCACCGAGGUGCCGAAGGGAAACCGUGAAACGUGCCGCUGGGAAGUACGGUCGCAAGGCUGAAACUUAAAGGAAUUGGCGGGGGAGCACCACAACGGGUGGAGCUUGCGGUUUAAUUGGAUUCAACGCCGGAAAUCUUACCGGGACCGACAGCAACAUGAAGGCCAGGCUGAAGACUUUGCCGGAUUAGCUG
rnacentral:rRNA from 1 species